rfam:Myotis lucifugus cont2.31889, whole genome shotgun sequence.
GGCAGUUCUUGGUUGACACCCCAUAAUUGGGCUCCCUCCUCUCUGGUUCUGGGUGCGUCAUCUGAGAACCGCA